AUGACAUUGCUUGGUAUGAAUCCCUACCCCCCUCAUCCUCUUCUCUCCCUCUUUGACGCCAUCUCGUUUCGUCUCGUCUCUGUAGGUAGGCGCCAUGGAGUGGAGCUUCCUCUGCUCGGGACGCCAUGGAUCUUGUGCUCGUCAAGGUCCUUCUUCCUCCAGCACGAGGACAAGCAGCAGCAGCAGCAUCAAGGUGGACAAAAAGGACCUCGUCUCCGCUCCAUGGCAGUUGCUCGCCGCCCGACCGGCCGUCCAUGCUGCCAAAGAUCACCGGCGUCAGCAGGGCCACCAACAACAUCGUAUUCCGCUUCUUCCUGUCCUCCGGCAUCCUCGUCCGCUACUGAAGAAGGUGGAACCAAGGAAUCAGGCCUGUGCUCCUCGUUGUCCUCGACCACCAAGGAUGCAGGCCCCCAGCCUUGGUUCUUCUGCGACUACCGCACCAACCUCGGCGCCCAACCCCCUAGAGCCACCGACAGUCCCGACUCCCAAGAGGCAAGCGCUUUAGUACAUGGUGUGAUGACUUGUGCUCCCAUGGCUCCAUCCUAG
rnacentral:rRNA from 1 species